AUGGAAGAACACCAGUGGCGAAGGCGGCUGUCUGGUCUGUAACUGACGCUGAGGCUCGAAAGUAUGGGUAGCAAACAGGAUUAGAUACCCUGGUAGUCCAUACCGUAAACGAUGAAUGCUAAGUGUUGGAGGGUUUCCGCCCUUCAGUGCUGCAGCUAACGCAUUAAGCAUUCCGCCUGGGGAGUACGGCCGCAAGGCUGAAACUCAAAGGAAUUGAGGGGGGCCCGCACAAGCGGUGGAGCAUGUGGUUUAAUUCGAAGCUACGCGAAGAACCUUACCAGGUCUUGACAUACUAUGCAAAUCUAAGAGAUUAGACGUUCCCUUCGGGGACAUGGAUACAGGUGGUGCAUGGUUGUCGUCAGCUCGUGUCGUGAGAUGUUGGGUUAAGUCCCGCAACGAGCGCAACCCUUUUUAUCAGUUGCCAGCAUUAAGUUGGGCACUCUGGUGAGACUGCCGGUGACAAACCGGAGGAAGGUGGGGAUGACGUCAAAUCAUCAUGCCCCUUAUGACCUGGGCUACACACGUGCUACAAUGGAUGGUACAACGAGUUGCGAACUCGCGAGAGUAAGCUAAUCUCUUAAAGCCAUUCUCAGUUCGGAUUGUAGGCUGCAACUCCCCUACAUGAAGUCGGAAUCGCUAGUAAUCGCGGAUCAGCAUGCCGCGGUGAAUACGUUCCCGGGCCUUGUACACACCGCCCGUCACACCAUGAGAGUUUGUAACACCCAAAGUCGGUGGGGUAACCUUUUAGGAACCAGCCGCCUAAGGUGGGACAGAUGAUUAGGGUGAAGUCGUAACAAGGUAA
rnacentral:rRNA from 2 species